rnacentral:rRNA from 1 species
GCAGGCUGAAAUUCGCCUGCAUGAAGCCGGAAUUGCUAGUAAUGGCAGGUCAGCAUACUGCCGUGAAUACGUUCCCGGGCCUUGUACACACCGCCCGUCACACCAUGAGAGUUGGGGAUACCCAAAGCCCGUGAGCCAACUUUAAAAGAGGCAGCGGUCUAAGGUAGAAUCAAUGAUUGGGGUGAAGUCGUAACAAGGUACC